UUCAAGUUAGGACAUGAUUGGGAAUACAGAAUGGAGGAAAAUGGUGGAGCACCAGGUACACCAGGAAAAGGAAGUGGGUCUUUAUCAUAAAGAUGUACCAACUAUCCAGCCACACACUUGUAUAUCUCUUCAGUAAUAAUGUCAAUGUUUAAAUAUCCGAAGUAUCCUCCUACUUGGGAGCAUAUUCACUACACUGGGGAGCUUUUAUUUUUCUCCUAGGUUCAACACGCCUUCGUAUUGCUGCAAUACAGACUACUUGAUAUGUUGCUAUCACACAUGGGGAAUGGGAGCUACUGUCUUUACAUCAGUCUUUGAAUUUCUGUUUGAAGAUGUGAGCAUGUUGCUCUAAUUACACAGAAAUGUCCCAGUGAAUACUUUCCACAGAGGAAUUUCACUUGCGGAAUUUACACUUGAAGUUUUCUUCCUGAUCUUCAAAAUCUAUUGACGUUGAUACAUAUUCAUGUCAACAAUAUACCACAAACCCAACUAGACUGUGGACUUCUUGGGUUCAAGUACCAUAUCCCAAAGUAUAUUUAUAGUUUCCAAAACAUCAAAAACAGUGUUAAAUACACACUGAAAUAUGAGUAAAUAUUCACUAAUUUUAGCAGUCAAAUUUUAUUAUUUUUUGGUUUAAUGAAGAAGUGGUCUGGUGUUACUCCAAAUCAAAGAAAAUACUUCAUGACUCCUAGAUAUUUAAAGGGAAGAAUUCAAAGAUAAUUGCCAUAUCUCUCUGAUAAAGCAACCAUUCUCUCUUCAUUUUGUACUUAGAAAUCUACAGCAAUAGUUUGAUUUCAAAUACCAACCUAAAUGACAGCUCCAUCAUUCAAAUUCUGGGUGCAGCUGGCUGACAUUCUAGUCAGGCUGGGAGAGAGCUCUGCAUUUGUUGAAAUUGUAAAGGUCUCUAUUAAAGAGAUCCUUUAUUAAAAAAACUUAAGUGCUGUCAAAAUAUUUUAUCUUCCAAUUAUUGUUUUAAUUAUGAAAGUAUAAGCAUUCUAUUUAAUUUUGAAAAUAAUCACUCUUACAUCUAUACUCCCUACUUUUCUACAAAUUCAUUUGGAAAGUAAUCUCUCUGGAAGCCAAACCAACAUUAGAGAUGUCAUAUCUAUAAAACACCUACAUAACAAGUUUAUUGCCUCAAUUUCCAAACUUUUGGAACCUGUAAAUUAAGUUAGGAAUGUAUUAAAGAAACAACAACAACAAAAAGAAGCAAUAAAAGAGAAUGAACUUUGAGUCAGACUCACGUGGAUUCUGUUCAUGGCUUACUUACUGAACUUCCUCUGAACUUGUAGGCAAGGGACUCUGAUUUCUAUUUUUUUCAUGGAUAAGACAGAGGUAAUUGAUUCUGCUUCAUAAGCUGGUUGUGUGAAUUGAUGUAAUAAUAUAUAUACAGUGCCUAGUACAUGGCCUGGUACAUAAUACCUACUCAAUAAAUGAUAAUAUCCACAACUUCUGGGAAGAGAGGAUGGAGAGGCAGGAUGAAGAAAAGAGGGAGAACUAUGAGAAUAAAUGAUUUUCAUCCAACACAAUUUUCUUCUUUAAAGUAAUGGCAUAGUUGGUCUGGUUACAGGAAGAGAAUUAUGCAACUCAAUAUCCUGGCGAGUAUUUAGAUAUGACUUAAUUAACCGGGUGAGUAAAUGGAACGAGAGAAAAGAAAAGAAAAA